AGUGAACGCUGGCGGUAGGCCUAACACAUGCAAGUCGAACGGCAGCACAGUAAGAGCUUGCUCUUACGGGUGGCGAGUGGUGGACGGGUGAGGAAUACAUCGGAAUCUACUUUUUCGUGGGGGAUAACGUAGGGAAACUUACGCUAAUACCGCAUACGACCUACGGGUGAAAGCAGGGGAUCUUCGGACCUUGCGCGAUUGAAUGAGCCGAUGUCGGAUUAGCUAGUUGGCGGGGUAAAGGCCCACCAAGGCGACGAUCCGUAGCUGGUCUGAGAGGAUGAUCAGCCAUACUGGAACUGAGACACGGUCCAGACUCCUACGGGAGGCAGCAGUGGGGAAUAUUGGACAAUGGGCGCAAGCCUGAUCCAGCCAUACCGCGUGGGUGAAGAAGGCCUUCGGGUUGUAAAGCCCUUUUGUUGGGAAAGAAAAGCAGCAGGUUAAUACCCCGCUGUUCUGACGGUACCCAAAGAAUAAGCACCGGCUAACUUCGUG
rnacentral:rRNA from 1 species